rnacentral:rRNA from 1 species
UACGAAGGGGGCUAGCGUUGCUCGGAAUUACUGGGCGUAGAGCGCACGUAGGCGGCUUUGCAAGUUAGAGGUGAAAGCCCGGGGCUCAACUCCGGAAUUGCCUUUAAAACUGCAUCGCUAGAAUUGUGGAGAGGUAAGUGGAAUUCCGAGUGUAGAGGUGAAAUUCGUAGAUAUUCGGAAGAACACCAGUGGCGAAGGCGACUUACUGGACACAUAUUGACGCUGAGGUGCGAAAGCGUGGGGAGCAAACAGG